rnacentral:rRNA from 1 species
CCGGCACGGGUGAGUAACACGUAUCCAACCUGCCGUCUACUCUUGGACAGCCUUCUGAAAGGAAGAUUAAUACAAGAUGGCAUCAUGAGUCCGCAUGUUCACAUGAUUAAAGGUAUUCCGGUAGACGAUGGGGAUGCGUUCCAUUAGAUAGUAGGCGGGGUAACGGCCCACCUAGUCUUCGAUGGAUAGGGGUUCUGAGAGGAAGGCCCCCCACAUUGGAACUGAGACACGGUCCAA